AGUAAAUAGAUACCCGGGUAGUCCACGCCGUAAACGAUGAGUACUAGGUGUAGGAGGUAUCGACUCCUUCUGUGCCGCAGUUAAAACACAAUAAGUACUCCGCCUGGGAAGUACGGUCGCAAGAUUAAAACUCAAAGGAAUUGACGGGGGCCCGCACAAGCAGCGGAGCAUGUGGUUUAAAUUCGAAGCAACGCGAAGAACCUUACCUAGACUUGACAUCCCCUGAAUAACGUAGAGAUACGCGAAGCCCUUCGGGGCAGGGAGACAGGUGGUGCAUGGUUGUCGUCAGCUCGUGUCGUGAGAUGUUGGGUUAAGUCCCGCAACGAGCGCAACCCUUAUCAUUAGUUGCUACCAUUUAGUUGAGCACUCUAGUGAGACUGCCCGGGUUAACCGGGAGGAAGGCGGGGAUGACGUCAAGUCAUCAUGCCCCUUAUGUCUAGGGCUACACACGUGCUACAAUGGUGAGAACAACGAGAUGCAAUACCGCGAGGUGGAGC
rnacentral:rRNA from 1 species